ACCCCGGGUUAAUUAGGUGCCACCAACCGCGGUAAAUCGUAGGUGGCAAGCGUUUUCCGGAUUUAUUGGGGGUAAAAGGAAGCCCAGGCGGUUUUUUAAAGUUUAAAGUGAAAACCUUUGGGCUCAACCGAAGAAAGUGCAUUGGAAACUGGGAGACUUGAGUCCAGAAGAGGACAGUGGAACUCCAUGGGUAGCGGUGAAAUGCGUAGAUAUAUGGAAGAACACCAGUGGCGAAGGCGGCUGUCUGGUCUGCAACUGACGCUGAGGCUCGAAAGCAUGGGUAGCGAACAGGAUUAGAUACCCUGGUAGUCCAUGCCGUAAACGAUGAUUACUAAGUGUUGGAGGGUUUCCGCCCUUCAGUGCUGCAGCUAACGCAUUAAGUAAUCCGCCUGGGGAGUACGACCGCAAGGUUGAAACUCAAAAGAAUUGACGGGGGCCCGCACAAGCGGUGGAGCAUGUGGUUUAAUUCGAAGCUACGCGAAGAACCUUACCAGGUCUUGACAUCUUCUGACAGUCUAAGAGAUUAGAGGUUCCCUUCGGGGACAGAAUGACAGGUGGUGCAUGGUUGUCGUCAGCUCGUGUCGUGAGAUGUUGGGUUAAGUCCCGCAACGAGCGCAACCCUUAUUACUAGUUGCCAGCAUUAAGUUGGGCACUCUAGUGAGACUGCCGGUGACAAACCGGAGGAAGGUGGGGACGACGUCAAAUCAUCAUGCCCCUUAUGACCUGGGCUACACACGUGCUACAAUGGAUGGUACAACGAGUCGCGAGACCGCGAGGUUAAGCUAAUCUCUUAAAACCAUUCUCAGUUCGGACUGUAGGCUGCAACUCGCCUACACGAAGUCGGAAUCGCUAGUAAUCGCGGAUCAGCAUGCCGCGGUGAAUACGUUCCCGGGCCUUGUACACACCGCCCGUCACACCAUGAGAGUUUGUAACACCCAAAGCCGGUGGGGUAACCUUUAGGAGCUAGCCGUCUAAGGUGACAGAAAUUGGGG
rnacentral:rRNA from 1 species